AAUGAGACCUUUACAACAGUAUAUCGUAUGCUCAAAAUGGUUGAGUGGUGAAUGAGAAAUUCAUGCUCAAAGUAAGCUACUUGGAAAUAUUAUUAAGGAAAAAUAAAAGGCUUAGAUCCCACAUUAGUUAAAUAUUAAAUGUAGGAUGUGUUUAUAUAUGUAAACUCUCUUAAAAAUAAUUGAAAGAUUAAGUUUGUAAUAUUGCCUCGCGUGUAGGAGAGGUGUUGGUCCAAGCCCGAUGGGGUUGGGGCACACCUGCACGACAUUGGCGACGCGAAAUGCCCUAACUGGUUGGGCCUGCGGAUAUUUUAGUUUAUCACAAAUUUAUUUUCCUCAGCUGAAAACUUAUCUUAUUAAUUUGAUUCCAAUAAAUCUGUUUAAAUUUUUUUAUUUAAAGGCAGAUGUAGGGCCCAAAUUUUGCUCAGCCCAAAAAACAGACCCAAAUCACUAAAAUUAAAAGGCCCCAUUACAAGUCCAAUGACCUAAAUUUUUUCAAAAUAUAGCAAACCCUAGGGUUCCAUUUGCCCACGCUGCAACUCCCACGCUUCAACACCCAGGAACGGAUUCCUAGCUCGCACGUUGCACGAUCGUGCACUCUUCCUCCACGAUUUCACAGCAUCUGCGACUUGAGCAAAGAAAUAGGCAGAAACAGUUUGUAUUUUGGGCUAUAAAGCCUUUGUUUUUUCAUUGUAAAAGGGACGUUUUUUUGAUACAAAAAGAAACACAAAAUCAGUAGAGAACAACUAGAAGAAUAUUUUGAAGGUGAUCAUUUACUGUAAUUUAUUUCUAUUUUUUUUCUUUUUUUUUUCCUUUUUUUGGAUCCAAAACAAAGAUGAAGUAUAAAAGAGAGAGGUCUUACUGGAGUUGUGCUCGUGCCGUCGGUGGCCAUGGCAUGUGGGACCUUUGACAGAGGCGGUGUUUGACGAAAAGGAAAAGAUGAGUGCAUGAGUUGAGAGAGCAUCUAAAAAAUUUUUAAGUUUUUUUUCAAAAAACAAAAGGGUGAAUGUUUUAAGGAAAAGGGGUUUUAAAAAAAGGGAUUUGGGAUUUCUAAAAGUUCUUUAAUGUUUUUUUUUUUAAAAAUAAAGGUUAUGUUUAAUUUUAAUAGCUUUUGGGGAAGGGAAAGAGAUUGCCUGUGCAUGGACAGCCUGGUUCUGCGCAUGUUCCUUUUAAAUGGGUAAUUUCGUGGCCAGUCCUUCCUAUUUUGAGCUACCUUUAAUCUGUCCCUAUUAUGUUUCUUUUAUUUUUCUCUAGAAGUUUGCGCGUUGUUUCAGUUUGGUCCGCGCCUGGGUAGUGUUUUUGGUGAUUUGGGUCAUUUUUAGUUUUGAUCCUCGAGCAUUUGUGCGCGUCUUAUUUCGAUUCACAAUUUUGUUUAAAUAAUUAAUUUUGUUUAUAAAUAAUCCUUUUGGUUUUGUUGUGCUGAAGUUUUUUUUUCCCCUUUAAAAAUAAGAGCAUAUUAUUUUAGCAUAUAAUUUUGUAUUGUUUUGAUGAUUUCAUUGUUUUUUUUUUCUAUGUGCAUAUUUGUUUUUUUCCAAACACUUUCGUAUAUUAUCAUUACUUUUGUUUAUAUAUAUAUUAUUUAUAUUAGGUUUAUU
rnacentral:lncRNA from 1 species